GAUGAACGCUGGCGGCGUGCCUAAUACAUGCAAGUCGAGCGAACAGACGAGGAGCUUGCUCCUCUGACGUUAGCGGCGGACGGGUGAGUAACACGUGGAUAACCUACCUAUAAGACUGGGAUAACUUCGGGAAACCGGAGCUAAUACCGGAUAAUAUAUUGAACCGCAUGGUUCAAUAGUGAAAGACGGUUUUGCUGUCACUUAUAGAUGGAUCCGCGCCGCAUUAGCUAGUUGGUAAGGUAACGGCUUACCAAGGCAACGAUGCGUAGCCGACCUGAGAGGGUGAUCGGCCACAACGGAACUGAGACACGGUCAAGACUCCUACGGGAGGCAGCAGUAGGGAAUCUUCCGCAAAGGGCGAAAGACUGACGGAGCAACGCCGAGUGAGUGAUGAAGGUAUUCGGAUCGUAAAACUCUGUUAUUAGGGAAGAACAAAUGUGUAAGUAACUAUGCACGUCUUGACGGUACCUAAUCAGAAAGCCACGGCUAACUACGUG
rnacentral:rRNA from 1 species